rnacentral:lncRNA from 13 species
AAAGUUUUAUUUUGACAGUAGUACUUCAGUUUUUGUCAUACAAUGUUUUUUCCUCUCCCUAGUGCUCUUCUUGGAAGAGAAUUGCAGACAUCAGAUUGGCUCUUUUUCUUGACCAUGAAAAAGGAGAGAUAAGGGGAAUGCUGGUAAAAUGUGAAUUUGAAGGAGAGAAGACUCUUCUCUGCCCUACGGACUGUUUACCCAUCAGACUUACUAUCUGGUUUGUGCAGAACUAAUGUGGAGAUAUUAGUCAGAUAAUAUUGUUUACAUGUUUGUCCACUCCAAGUCUCAUUUUGAAAAGCAAUCCCCAAUGCCAGAAGUGGGACCUAGUGGGAAGUCUUUGAGUCAUGGUGGCAGCUCUCUCAUAAAAGUCUUGGUGACAAAUCAAGAUUAUUAAGGGAAAUUUGAACAAGUUGUGAGUGAUUCAGCUAUUCUCCUCCAGACAAAGUGGCACAGGUAAAGUAAUCAUGUACAUCUGACCUUUAAAAUGUAAUACUCC